CUUGAGAGGGUGACCGGCCACAUUGGGACUGAGACACGGCCCGAACUCCUACGGGAGGCAGCAGUGGGGAAUAUUGCACAAUGGAGGAAACUCUGAUGCAGCGACGCCGCGUGAGUGAAGAAGUAAUUCGUUAUGUAAAGCUCUAUCAGCAGGGAAGAUAGUGACGGUACCUGACUAAGAAGCUCCGGCUAAAUACGUGCCAGCAGC
rnacentral:rRNA from 1 species